CUAAAUUGUUGUUUAUGAUUUUUUAAUAAAAACUUAAUAUUUAAAGUCUCUGUUAUUUUUCUUUGUAGAUCUUUUUUUUAUGAGAAGUCAAUAGUUUUCUUUCUUAGUGAAAUCUUGUAGAGAGUUUUUUUAAAAAAUAAUAAAUUUAGUGCCAGCAUUUGCGGUUAGACUAAAAUUUUUAAGAAAUAUUUGUUAAGGUAGGAUAAUUAAUAAAUACAUAUAUAAUUCAUUAGGUGAAAUUUUUUGGGGAAAAGUAAUUUUAAAUAUUUUGUGGAAGUAAGGGUACGGACUAGGAUUAGAUACCCUAUUACACUUAUUUUUUUUUCCUUUAAAGAUUAAAUAUAAAAUUUGAAAAUUUGGCGGCUUUCUUAUUUAGAGGAACUUGUCUAUUAAAUUGAUAAUCCUCAAUGAUUUUGUUUUUGAAUUAUUUUUGUAUACCAUCAUUUUAAUAAUUUUAAAAUAAUAAAUUAUUAUGAGUUUUUUAAGGAAGUUAGAUCAAGGUGCAGAUAUAUUUAAAAUUAGAUUAGUUACAAUAAUGAUUUAUACUGUAUUAAAUUAAUUUUUAUUGAAGGGUGGAUUUAAAUGUAAUGAGAUAUAAAUAUGAAAAAUUAAAGUUUUAGUGUACAAAUUGCCCGUCACUCUCUCUGAGAUAAGUCGAAACAAAGUAGAAGUACCUGAAGGUGUUUCU
rnacentral:rRNA from 1 species